GUCGAUCGACACAUGGAUGCACCAUCGAUCAACGUUCCUUCAUCUCCUUGACAGCUUCCUCUAGCGAGACAGACUGACCACUCUUCAGUAAAACGGGCAUAACAUUUUAUCUAGCCGUUGGAUUGACCUCAAACCGGUGGCAUUGGAAAUCUAACUUAAAUCGCUAUUGUGUGUUAAAAUAUGGGCUCAAUCGCACCGUGGGAAGGUCUCCAUCCAUAGCUAAACAUCUGUGGCGCCUGUGCC
rnacentral:lncRNA from 1 species